CUCUGGAGUAACGCUGUAGAGCCUCCUGGGCCUGACAAAGGACGGUCUCAGUGACAAGGUCCAGGCUCCCUUUCAGCCCCGGCGAGUCAAAGCCUCCUGCCAGGGCUUGUGCUGAGCAGAGUCACAGAGCUCGGGCCAGCCGUGGGUGACUCCUGGCAGUUCCUAAUGAGUGGAGGUCAAGAACACAGCGCACAGGAGACACACAGGUAUGCCCUGCAAGUGAGAUUGGUGUUACCAAGAGCACCAGCACAGCUGCCAAACUGGCACAAACUGGACAUCCUCAG